rnacentral:misc_RNA from 1 species
GAUGAAGAACGUAGCGAAAUGCGAUAAGUAGUGUGAAUUGCAGAACUCAGUGAAUCAUCGAAUCUUUGAACGCACAUUGCGCCCCUUGGUAUUCCAUGGGGCAUGCCUGUUCGAGCGUCAUUUGUACCCUCAAGCUUUGCUUGGUGUUGGGUGUUUGUCCCGCGUUGCGCGUGGACUCGCCUUAAAGCGAUUGGCAGCCGGCAUAUUGGCCUUGGAGCGCAGCACAUUUUGCGCUUCUAGUCAUGAAUGUUGGCGUCCAUUAAGCCUAUACAUUUGCUCUUGACCUCGGAUCAGGUAGGGAUACCCGCUGAACUUAAGCAUAUCAAUAAGCGGAGGA